CCUGCCCACUGAUUAAUUGAAUGGCCGCAGUAAUUUGACUGUGCAAAGGUAGCAUAAUCAUUAGUUUUUUAAUUAAAAGCUUGUAUGAAGGGUUGGACGAGGUAAAAUCUGUCUCUAUUUAAUUUAAUUUAGAAUUUAAUUUUUAAGUUAAAAAGCUUAAAUUUUAAUAAAAGACGAGAAGACCCUAUAGAUCUUUAUAUUUUUAUAGAUAAUUUUAUUUAGGAUUGUUUUAUUUUUUAUUUAUUAAAAUAUUUUAUUGGGGUAAUAAAAAGAUUAAAUGAAUUCUUUUUUUUUAUAAUAUAAAUUAAUAGUUAUUUGAUCCAAUUAUUUUGAUUAUAAGAUUAAGUUACCUUAGGGAUAACAGCGUAAUUUUUUUUGAGAGUUCAUAUCGAUAAAAAAGUUUGCGACCUCGAUGUUGGAUUAAAAAUUAUUU
rnacentral:rRNA from 1 species